rnacentral:rRNA from 1 species
UACGUAGGGGGCUAGCGUUGUCCGGAAUCAUUGGGCGUAAAGGGCGCGUAGGCGGCUUGUUAAGUCGGCUGUGAAAGCCCGGGGCUCAACCCCGGAGGGUCAGCCGAUACUGGCAGGCUAGAGUACGGAAGAGGUAGCUGGAAUUCCCGGUGUAGCGGUGAAAUGCGUAGAUAUCGAGAGGAACACCUGCGGCGAAGGCGGGUUGCUGGGCUGACACUGACGCUGAUGCGCGAAAGCCAGGGGAGCGAACGGG